ACGGGAGGCAGCAGUGAGGAAUAUUGGUCAAUGGGCGCUAGCCUGAACCAGCCAGGUAGCGUGAAGGAUGACUGCCCUAUGGGUUGUAAACUUCUUUUAUAUGGGAAUAAAGUGCAGUAUGUAUACUGCUUUGCAUGUACCUUAUGAAUAAGGAUCGGCUAACUCCGUGCCAGCAGCCGCGGUAAUACGGAGGAUCCGAGCGUUAUCCGGAUUUAUUGGGUUUAAAGGGAGCGUAGGCGGGUUGUUAAGUCAGUUGUGAAAGUUUGCGGCUCAACCGUAAAAUUGCAGUUGAUACUGGCAUCCUUGAGUACAGUAGAGGUAGGCGGAAUUCGUGGUGUAGCGGUGAAAUGCUUAGAUAUCACGAAGAACUCCGAUUGCGAAGGCAGCCUGCUGGACUGUAACUGACGCUGAUGCUCGAAAGUGUGGGUAUCAAACAGGAUUAGAUACCCUGGUAGUCCACACAGUAAACGAUGAAUACUCGCUGUUUGCGAU
rnacentral:rRNA from 1 species